GCCGGUCUAGCUCAAUUGGUAGAGCAACUGACUUGUAAUCAGUAGGUUGGGGGUUCAAGUCCUCUGGCCGGCA
rfam:Bacillus ginsengihumi strain M2.11 NODE_65, whole genome shotgun sequence.